AAACCAACAAGCUUGCUUGUUGGGGUUGUAGGACACUCUAUACGGAGUUACAAAGGACGACAUUAGACGAAUCAUCUGGAAAGAUGAAUCAAAGAAGGUAAUAAUCCUGUAGUCGAAAAUGUUGUCUCUCUUGAGUGGAUCCUGAGUACGACGGAGCACGUGAAAUUCCGUCGGAAUCUGGGAGGACCAUCUCCUAAGGCUAAAUACUCUCUAGUGACCGAUAGUGAACCAGUACCGUGAGGGAAAGGUGAAAAGCACCCCGGAAGGGGAGUGAAAUAGAACCUGAAACCGUGUGCUUACAAGUAGUCAGAGCCCGUUAAUGGGUGAUGGCGUGCCUUUUGUAGAAUGAACCGGCGAGUUACGAUUUGAUGCAAGGUUAAGCAGUAAAUGUGGAGCCGUAGCGAAAGCGAGUCUGAAUAGGGCGUUUAGUAUUUGGUCGUAGACCCGAAACCAGGUGAUCUACCCUUGGUCAGGUUGAAGUUCAGGUAACACUGAAUGGAGGACCGAACCGACUUACGUUGAA
rnacentral:rRNA from 1 species